AUUGAACGCUGGCGGCAGGCUUAACACAUGCAAGUCGAGCGGAGCGAGGGUGCUUGCACCUUAGCUUAGCGGCGGACGGGUGAGUAAUGCUUAGGAAUCUGCCUAUUAGUGGGGGACAACAUUCCGAAAGGAAUGCUAAUACCGCAUACGCCCUACGGGGGAAAGCAGGGGAUCUUCGGACUUUGCGCUAAUAGAUGAGCCUAAGUCGGAUUAGCUAGUCGGUGGGGUAAAGGCCUACCAAGGCGACGAUGUGUAGCGGGUCUGAGAGGAUGAUCAGCCACACUGGGACUGAGACACGGCCCAGAGUCCUACGGGAGGCAGCAGUGGGGAAUAUUGGACAAUGGGCGGAAGCCUGAUCCAGCCAUGCCGCGUGUGUGAAGAAGGCCUUUUGGUUGUAAAGCACUUUAAGCGAGGAGGAGGCUACUUAGAUUAAUACUCUAGGAUAGUGGACGUUACUCGCAGAAUAAGCACCGGCUAACUCUGUGCCAGCCGCCGCGGUAACAC
rnacentral:rRNA from 1 species